rnacentral:lncRNA from 1 species
AAACUAAAGAACAGUACUCUGCAAAUGAUCUAGUGUGAUGAUAAGAGAAAAUGAAGAACUUUUCAAAACUCUAUGGGAAGCAGCAGAGUCGAGUUGAAGGAGCUGGAAGACGGCCAUUAGAAUGGUCUUUAUUCUUCCACCAGUUGAAGGAGGUUGGAAGAUGAAUCUUGCUGAACUUCAGCAUAUGGGAAACGACUUCGGGGCUACCUGAGUAUUCCAUCUUGUAAUGUUGAUAAAAGAACCAAAUGAAACAGCAUGCAGUGAAGAAUUUUGUAAGUCCUAAGUAAGUACACAAAUGUGAUGUGGAA